rnacentral:lncRNA from 1 species
UUCAUCCAUCAUCCUCUGAAUCGUCUCCCUCAGCAUUACACACCCAUUUGUAGUGACGGUGCAGGCAGCACAACGAUUAUCACAACCAGGGAAAACUCCACUCUUCAUCAGAUGUCUCUUGACCACAGACAUUGGAGUCCAACACCCAUUUGUAGUGACGGUGCAGGCAGCACAACGAUUAUCACAACCAGGGAAAACUCCACUCUUCAUCAGAUGUCUCUUGACCACAGACAUUGGAGUCCUCAACUGGUUCACAUCCGUCACCUCUGUUUUUCUC